AUACGUAGGUGGCAAGCGUUAUCCGGAAUUAUUGGGCGUAAAGAGGGAGCAGGCGGCAGCAAGGGUCUGUGGUGAAAGCCUGAAGCUUAACUUCAGUAAGCCAUAGAAACCAGGCAGCUAGAGUGCAGGAGAGGAUCGUGGAAUUCCAUGUGUAGCGGUGAAAUGCGUAGAUAUAUGGAGGAACACCAGUGGCGAAGGCGACGAUCUGGCCUGCAACUGACGCUCAGUCCCGAAAGCGUGGGGAGCAAAUAGGAUUAGAUACCCUAGUAGUCCACGCCGUAAACGAUGAGUACUAAGUGUUGGAUGUCAAAGUUCAGUGCUGCAGUUAACGCAAUAAGUACUCCGCCUGAGUAGUACGUUCGCAAGAAUGAAACUCAAAGGAAUUGACAGGG
rnacentral:rRNA from 1 species